AUAUUAUCCUAAUCUCUUGCUGUAGGGUGGUAGCUCUGAAGAUGAUCCUACUCCAGUUACUAUACUAGACACGCUCAAUGAUAUAGUGUCUCAGUAUGGAGAUAGACCAGCACUGAAAGUGAAGAGAGGAGGGGAAUGGAAGACAUGGAGUUAUACUCAGUAUCAUGCUGAUGUACAGAGAGUUGCUAAGAGUUGUAUUGCUAUUGGAUUGGAGCCUCAUUAUGGUGUCUCUAUUAUUGGGUUUAACUCACCUGAAUGGGCCAUGACUUUCAUGGGAGCUAUAAUGGCUGGUGGUAUUCCUGCUGGUAUAUACAUUACCAAUAAUAAAGAGGCGUGUCAGCACAUUGCUA